UGGGGAAUAUUGCACAAUGGGCGCAAGCCUGAUGCAGCCAUGCCGCGUGUGUGAAGAAGGCCUUCGGGUUGUAAAGCACUUUCAGCGGGGAGGAAGGCGGUGAGGUUAAUAACCUUGGCGAUUGACGUUACCCGCAGAAGAAGCACCGGCUAACUCCGUGCCAGCAGCCGCGGUAAUACGGAGGGUGCAAGCGUUAAUCGGAAUUACUGGGCGUAAAGCGCACGCAGGCGGUCUGUCAAGUCGGAUGUGAAAUCCCCGGGCUCAACCUGGGAACUGCAUUCGAAACUGGCAGGCUAGAGUCUUGUAGAGGGGGGUAGAAUUCCAGGUGUAGCGAUGAAAUGCGUAGAGAUCUGGAGGAAUACCGGUGGCGAAGGCGGCCCCCUGGACAAAGACUGACGCUCAGGUGCGAAAGCGUGGGGAGCAAACAGG
rnacentral:rRNA from 1 species